GGCAGUAUGCUUGGUAAAAGUCAUCGCCAUUCUCUAAUCUUGAGUACCCAGGGACACGAUACACUGCGGAAGGCUGCAGGGACCUCUGCCCAGGAAAGCCAGGCUUGCAUGAAGGAAAUGAUUUCCUAUGAUUCUGCUUACUGCUUAAAAAAAUUAAUCAAGUUUUCUGCCUGACAAGUGGUUUCCAAAAGGAAAAGCUUUGGGAGAUAGAAGUCCUCGUUUUGACCUCUGCCCUCCUUGUACACCAGGAGCCAGAAAAACUUCAUCUCUUUUACAAGAAACAUUGAGAUUCCUGUAAAAUUAAGAAAUCACACAAUUUGAUGGUCUACAUUAUCUAAAGCAAAUGAGACUUCUAUUUGGAACAAAGACUACCUUGUUGGGAAAUGAGUCUGCAAGUUAAAGUGUUUUCUGGGAUCACUCUAAGCUCCAGUGUCAAGGAGUCAAGUCCUUCAGGAAUUCUCUGCCUCCACUCCCUGUGGCAGAGCUAGAGUGGCUGCCAUGCUUCUGAGCUCAGCCAGCAUCCAGAGAGAGAGUGAGAUACAGCCUCCUCUUCUUGAAGCACCCACUUCUAAACUCUGUGACAGUUUUCUUGGAACUCUGUUAUGUGGAUCUGGAGAUGACAAUGUCACAGCACUCCCCUCUAAGCCUAAAUUCCCCCACACCGAUGAACUAUUAGGGAUAAAAAUUUACCUGGAUGCAAGGCUAUUCAGAAUGAAGAUUAAUGAUAUGGUUUGGCUGUGUCCCCACCCAAACUUCAUCUUGAAUUCCCACGUGUUGUGAGAGGGACCUGGUGGGAGAUAAUUGAACCAUGGGGGCAGGUCUUUCUCAUGCUGUUCUCAUGAGAGUGAAUAAGUCUCAUGAAACCUGAUGGUUUUAUAAGGGGGAAUUUCCCUGCACAAGCUCUCUCUCUGCCUUUUGCCAUCCAUGUAAGACGUGACUUGGUCCUCCUUGCCUUCUACCAUGAUUAUGAGGCCUCCCCAGCCACGUGGAACUGUGAGUCCAUUAAACCUCUUUCUUUUGUAAA
rnacentral:lncRNA from 1 species